rnacentral:rRNA from 2 species
AGAGUUUGAUCAUGGCUCAGGAUGAACGCUGGCGGCGUGCCUAAUACAUGCAAGUCGAACGAGUUCUGAUUAUUGAAAGGUGCUUGCAUCUUGAUUUAAUUUUGAACGAGUGGCGGACGGGUGAGUAACACGUGGGUAACCUGCCCUUAAGUGGGGGAUAACAUUUGGAAACAGAUGCUAAUACCGCAUAAAUCCAAGAACCGCAUGGUUCUUGGCUGAAAGAUGGCGUAAGCUAUCGCUUUUGGAUGGACCCGCGGCGUAUUAGCUAGUUGGUGAGGUAACGGCUCACCAAGGCAAUGAUACGUAGCCGAACUGAGAGGUUGAUCGGCCACAUUGGGACUGAGACACGGCCCAAACUCCUACGGGAGGCAGCAGUAGGGAAUCUUCCACAAUGGACGCAAGUCUGAUGGAGCAACGCCGCGUGAGUGAAGAAGGCUUUCGGGUCGUAAAACUCUGUUGUUGGAGAAGAAUGGUCGGCAGAGUAACUGUUGUCGGCGUGACGGUAUCCAACCAGAAAGCCACGGCUAACUACGUGCCAGCAGCCGCGGUAAUACGUAGGUGGCAAGCGUUAUCCGGAUUUAUUGGGCGUAAAGCGAGCGCAGGCGGUUUUUUAAGUCUGAUGUGAAAGCCCUCGGCUUAACCGAGGAAGUGCAUCGGAAACUGGGAAACUUGAGUGCAGAAGAGGACAGUGGAACUCCAUGUGUAGCGGUGAAAUGCGUAGAUAUAUGGAAGAACACCAGUGGCGAAGGCGGCUGUCUGGUCUGUAACUGACGCUGAGGCUCGAAAGCAUGGGUAGCGAACAGGAUUAGAUACCCUGGUAGUCCAUGCCGUAAACGAUGAAUGCUAGGUGUUGGAGGGUUUCCGCCCUUCAGUGCCGCAGCUAACGCAUUAAGCAUUCCGCCUGGGGAGUACGACCGCAAGGUUGAAACUCAAAGGAAUUGACGGGGGCCCGCACAAG